rnacentral:rRNA from 1 species
CCUACGGGUGGCAGCAGUGAGGAAUAUUGGUCAAUGGCCGGAAGGCUGAACCAGCCAUGCCGCGUGAAGGUCAGUGCCCUAUGGGCGUUAAACUUCUUUUGUGCGGGAGCAAUAAUGGUCACGUGUGGCCAGACGAGAGUACCGUACGAAUAAGCAUCGGCUAACUCCGUGCCAGCAGCCGCGGUAAUACUGGGGAUGCAAUCGUUAUCCGGAGUCAUUGGGUUUAAAGGGUGCGUAGGCUGGGAGGUAAGUCAGCGGUGAAAUGCCCCCGCUCAACGGGGUGAAGUGCCAUUGAUACUGCCGUGCUGGAAUGCGGAUGCCGUGGGAGGAAGGUGUGGUGUAGCGGUGAAAUGCAUAGAUAUCACACAGAACACCGAUUGCGAAGGUAUCUCACGAAUCCGCGAUUGACGCUGAUGCACGAAAGCGUGGGUAUCAAACAGGAUUAGAUACCCGAGUAGUC